rnacentral:rRNA from 1 species
UGCAGUCGAACGGCAGCGGGGGAGCUUGCUCCCGCCGGCGAGUGGCGAACGGGUGAGUAAUACAUCGGAACGUACCCAGUAGCGGGGGAUAGCCCGGCGAAAGCCGGAUUAAUACCGCAUACGCCCUGCGGGGGAAAGGGGGGGAUCGUAAGACCUCUCACUAUUGGAGCGGCCGAUGGCUGAUUAGCUAGUUGGUGGGGUAAAGGCCUACCAAGGCGACGAUCAGUAGCUGGUCUGAGAGGACGACCAGCCACACUGGGACUGAGACACGGCCCAGACUCCUACGGGAGGCAGCAGUGGGGAAUUUUGGACAAUGGGCGAAAGCCUGAUCCAGCAAUGCCGCGUGUGCGAAGAAGGCCUUCGGGUUGUAAAGCACUUUUGUCAGGGAAGAAAUCGUUUGGGUUAAUACCCCGAGCAGUUGACGGUACCUGAAGAAUAAGCACCGGCUAACUACGUGCCAGCAGCCGCGGUAAUACGUAGGGUGCAAGCGUUAAUCGGAAUUACUGGGCGUAAAGCGUGCGCAGGUGGUUUGUUAAGACAGUUGUGAAAUCCCCGGGCUUAACCUGGGAACUGCAAUUGUGACUGGCAGACUAGAGUGAGGCAGAGGGGGGCGGAAUUCCUGGUGUAGCAGUGAAAUGCGUAGAUAUCGAGGA